rnacentral:lncRNA from 1 species
UUCACUGCAACCUCCAUUGGGUUCUUGAACUGGCUGAGCUUUUUAUGAUCUUUAUAGUUAGAAAUUGGAGGAUCUGUAAAUAUAAUAGAGUUAUCAUUUGCUUGUUUUGCUUAGCUACACUGCAUCAUAGCUAUCAAAAACUGAGUAUGGCUCUCAUCUGCAAUAUUUUAUUCUUUAAGUAGGUUCUUCUUUAGUGAACA